rnacentral:rRNA from 1 species
AUUGAACGCUGGCGGCAGGCCUAACACAUGCAAGUCGAGCGAGCGGCGGACGGGUGAGUAAUGUCUGGGAAACUGCCUGAUGGAGGGGGAUAACUACUGGAAACGGUAGCUAAUACCGCAUACCGUUAGAUGUGCCCAGAUGGGAUUAGCUAGUAGGUGGGGUAAUGGCUCACCCAGGCGACGAUCCCUAGCUGGUCUGAGAGGAUGACCAGCCACACUGGAACUGAGACACGGUCCAGACUCCUACGGGAGGCAGCAGUAGGGAAUAUUGCACAAUGGGCGAAAGCCUGAUGGAGCCAUGCCGCGUGAGUGAAGAAGGCCUUCGGGUUGUAAAGCACUUUCAGUGAGGAGGCGUUACUCGCAGAAGAAGCACCGGCUAACUCCGUGCCAGCAGCCGCGGUAAUUC